GUUUCCGUAGUGUAUAGUGGUCAUCACGUGCGCCUAACACGCGCAGGAUCCCCAGUUCGAUCCUGGGCGGAAACA
rnacentral:tRNA from 1 species